ACAGAGUAAAACUUGCAGCGGAAAUAAAUAAUCACAGAACUUUGGAAAAAUUUCUUCAAGUUAUAAAAUAACUUGAAGAAUGCCUUAUGGCGAAAUGACUAAACGGAGAAUGACACUCACGUUCAACACCUUUACAAUGGACUAGGUAUUGAACUCUAUACACUCUCACUAACAAACUAAAACUGGAUUCAAGAGCUAUACUCCGAAAUCCAACAAAACAAAGAAUGCUAUAACUAAUGUUAUCCCAACACGAGAAACAGCACUCCUACACAGAUCACUCAAAAGCUAGAUAUCUUCUCUCAAAGUUCGUGAUCUGAACUGAACUCCUCCUUGGUAUUUAUAGACCUUCAAAUCUUGAUCUCCAAGUAUGAGUUCGUGGGUUGGGAAGUGGAUGAGUGGUCGUUGAGUUAGUUGGAAGAAUCAGUCUUCACGAGCUACUCAUCCCUUUGAUUUAGGAGCUCCCAACAACUCCUUCUUUCUCUCUCCUUAUCUUCUCUUGCUCCUUCCUUCUCUCAACAGAAUUCGUUCCUUCUUUUCCUCCUUCAACCCUCACGAUUUCCAUCUCUUGACUUGGUCAAAAACACCUACAAACACAAAGUGAAGAAAGAGCAAAACAUACACAAUUCGAAAACUAACACU
rnacentral:lncRNA from 1 species